UACGUAGGUGGCAAGCGUUUGUCCGGAAUUAUUGGGCGUAAAGCGCGCGCAGGUGGUUUCUUAAGUCUGAUGUGAAAGCCCACGGCUCAACCGUGGAGGGUCAUUGGAAACUGAGGAACUUGAGUGCAGAAGAGGAAAGUGGAAUUCCAAGUGUAGCGGUGAAAUGCGUAGAGAUUUGGAGGAACACCAGUGGCGAAGGCGGCUCUCUGGAACGCAACUGACGCUGAGACGCGAAAGCGUGGGGAGCAAACAGG
rnacentral:rRNA from 1 species